rnacentral:rRNA from 1 species
GAUGAACGCUGGCGGCGUGCUUAACACAUGCAAGUCGAACGGAAAGGCCCAAGCUUGCUUGGGUACUCGAGUGGCGAACGGGUGAGUAACACGUGGGUGAUCUGCCCUGCACUUCGGGAUAAGCCUGGGAAACUGGGUCUAAUACCGGAUAGGACCACAUUUUGGAUGGUGUGGUGGAAAGUUUUUCGGUGUGGGAUGAGCUCGCGGCCUAUCAGCUUGUUGGUGGGGUAAUGGCCUACCAAGGCGUCGACGGGUAGCCGGCCUGAGAGGGUGUACGGCCACAUUGGGACUGAGAUACGGCCCAGACUCCUACGGGAGGCAGCAGUGGGGAAUAUUGCACAAUGGGCGCAAGCCUGAUGCAGCGACGCCGCGUGGGGGAUGACGGCCUUCGGGUUGUAAACUCCUUUCGCUAGGGACGAAGCGUAAGUGACGGUACCUGGAGAAGAAGCACCGGCUAACUACGUGCCAGCAGCCGCGGUAAUACGUAGGGUGCGAGCGUUGUC